GAUGAAGAACGCAGCGAAAUGCGAUACUUGGUGUGAAUUGCAGAAUCCCGUGAACCAUCGAGUCUUUGAACGCAAGUUGCGCCCGAAGCCAUUAGGCCGAGGGCACGCCUGCCUGGGCGUCACACGUCGUUGCCCCCCAUCUACUCCUUCGGGAUUGCGGGGGGCGGAUGAUGGCCUCCCGUGCGCCUCGUCGCGCGGUUGGCAUAAAUGCCAAGUCCUCGGCGACGCACGCCACGACAAUCGGUGGUUGCGAAACCUCGGUUGCCCGUCGUGUGCGGUCGUCGCGCAUCGAGGGCUCGAAAAAAUUGCCGGGCUCCGGCUCGGCUUUCAACGCGACCCCAGGUUAGGCGGGGUUACCCGCUGAAUUUAAGCAUAUCAAUAAGCGGAGGA
rnacentral:misc_RNA from 1 species